UACGGGGGGGGCAAGCGUUGUUCGGAAUUACUGGGCGUAAAGCGCGUGUAGGCGGGUGAUCAAGUCAGGUGUGAAAUCCCCAGGCUCAACCUGGGAACUGCACUUGAAACUGGUCGCCUUGAGUGUUGGAGAGGGAAGCGGAAUUCCUGGUGUAGAGGUGAAAUUCGUAGAUAUCAGGAGGAACACCGGUGGCGAAGGCGGCUUCCUGGACAAUUACUGACGCUGAGACGCGAAAGCGUGGGGAGCAAACAGG
rnacentral:rRNA from 1 species